rnacentral:rRNA from 1 species
AUUGAACGCUGGCGGCAGGCCUAACACAUGCAAGUCGAACGAGUGGCGGACGGGUGAGUAAUGUCUGGGAAACUGCCCGAUGGAGGGGGAUAACUACUGGAAACGGUAGCUAAUACCGCAUACCAUCGGAUGUGCCCAGAUGGGAUGAGCUAGUAGGUGGGGUAACGGCUCACCAAGGCGACGAUCCCUAGCUGGUCUGAGAGGAUGAUCAGCCACACUGGGACUGAGACACGGGCCAGACUCCUACGGGAGGAAGCAGUGGGGAAUAUUGAGCAAGGGGCGAAAGCCGGAUGCAGCCAUGCCGCGUGUAUGAAGAAGGCCUUCGGGUUGUAAAGUACUUUCAGCGAGGAGGCGUUAUUCGCAGAAGAAGCACCGGCUAACUCCGUGCCAGCAGCCGCGGUAAUUC